UAGUGGGGUGUUUUUCUCUUUCACACUCUCUCUCUCUCUCUUUUUUUUUGGAUCUCUGUUAUUAUUUUCUGGUAAUUCUCAAGUGUUUCUGUGAGUCUCUCGCCCUCUCAGUGUUUUGAUUGCUAGGAGGCAAACCAGCGUGGAGGCGGCGGCGACACUUUGUUUACUACUGAGGAGCAAAGCCGAGUACUCGGGAAGCUCGAGUGGAACGAGUCUCUCGCUUCGCCUCGACCUCCGCUCGGGGCCCAGAGUGAGGCGGGGCGGGGGCCGGGGGAACGCUCCUCGCUCCGCGGGUACUGGGUGGGCGGGCGGAGGCGGCCUCGCGGAAUUCUACUCAGUCGCCCCCUUCUCGGCUCCACCCACGAUUUUUUUGCAGAGAAACGUGGGGAAGUCGACACAGCCGUAUCAGCAGGAUGACAGGGCCUGGGGAAACAGGAUGGAGAAUGGAGCAGAAUGCCCUUCGUCAAUCAAAGCCAGCCCUGCUGCCUUCCUCGGGUUGUCUCCAGCCACGGCUUGAGGGAGUAGGAAACUGCAGAAACAAAUUUGGUAGCCUUUUUAUCAAGUAUGCCACCCUGAUGUUUGUCGGCCCUAUAUGCAAAAUAUGAUAAAGUGAAAUCACCAAUGGAUCUUCCAAGAAAUGCCAAAAACCAGCAAAACAUGAUCAACUAGAAGCUCUUUUCUUCCCUAUGCAAUGUUCAAUUUAUUCUGCAUUUUGAAUUUUUAUCUUGGUAUAACUUGCCACCUACAUACCUCAAUGAGGUAUUAUAAGGAUUAAAAUAAUGUCUUAAAACGCUUUGAAA